rnacentral:tRNA from 2 species
AUUUUUAUAGUGUAAAUAACAUAUUACAUUUUCGUUGUAAAGCUGAAAGACUCUUUCUAAAAAUU